AGCGAACGCUGGCGGCAUGCCUAACACAUGCAAGUAGAACGCUGAAGACUUUAGCUUGCUAAAGUUGGGAGAGUUGCGAACGGGUGAGUAACGCGUAGGUAACCUGCCUACUAGCGGGGGAUAACUAUUGGAAACGAUAGCUAAUACCGCAUAACAGCAUUUAACCCAUGUUAGAUGCUUGAAAGGAGCAAUUGCUUCACUAGUAGAUGGACCUGCGUUGUAUUAGCUAGUUGGUGAGGUAACGGCUCACCAAGGCGACGAUACAUAGCCGACCGGAGAGGGUCAUCGGCCACACUGGGACUGAGACACGGCCCAGACUCCUACGGGAGGCAGCAGUAGGGAAUCUUCGGCAAUGGGGGCAACCCUGACCGAGCAACGCCGCGUGGGUGAAGAAGGUUUUCGGAUCGUAAAGCUCUGUUGUAAGAGUAGAACGUGUGUAAGAGUGGAAAGUUCACACAGUGACGGUAACUUACCAGAAAGGGACGGCUAACUACGUGCCAGCAGCCGCCGUAAGAC
rnacentral:rRNA from 1 species